CUUGAAGUGUGCUCCAUUAUUCAUUGGUAUUUACAAUUAGAAUGCCCUAUUUCCAGAUCUGAUUUUCUUUCUUUUUUUUUUUCAUUUUAACUUGUUACAUUGAAUUAUAUGUCUUCAUUCAAGAAAACAAUCCUACUUUCUCUUUGUUUAGUAACAUUGUUUCAAUUGAUGUCUUAAAUUGCGUUUAUAGAAGCAAUGAUGGCUUGGCUUGGCUUGGUUUGGCUUGGGGUUUCCAAUGUUUUGAAUAGCAUGUAAACAACUUAAACUGCCACUCCAAUCCUAAUCAUUUAAUGGAAUGUGAUCUCUCUCUCUCUCUCUCUUUUUUUUUUCUUUUUUGAGACAGGGUCUCGCUCUGUCAACCAGGCUGGAGUGCAAUAGCGUGAUCUUGGCUCACUGCAACCUCUGCCUUCCAGAUUCAAGCGAUUCUUCUGAGUAGCUGGGAUUACAGGCACCCGUCACCACACCCAGCUGUUUUGUGUGUGUGUGUAUGUGUGUGUGUGCAUGUGUGCUUUUAGUAGAGACGGGGUUUUGCUGUGUUGGCCAGGCUGGUCUCGAUCUACCCACCUCGGCCUCCCCAAAGCGCUGGGACUACAGGCGUGAGCCACCACACCUGGCCAGAAUGUGAUAUAUCUAAAGGAGUUAUUUAUCUAGUUUAUAAAAUCUUGGAAAGAAACAAUCUAUCUUCUGGAGGAGACUCUGAGGUCUGAGCAUAUAAAAUUGUACAGGCUGUGAAGUUACUGCCCUAUGACAUAUAAGAGAGCAUCAUUAUUAGAUUAUGGGUUAGAGGUCCCGAGUUCCUAGUUCAGGCUCUGGAACUAAUUUUCUGAUGACUUUUGGAAAGUUCCUACAUAUUUGCUUCAAAAAUCUUUUUCUAGUUACAGAUAAAAGAGUUGGAAAUAUUUAAGAUAGCAAAUAUACUGCUUGAGGGUUGUUACUUUCCGCCAUCUCCACAUUCAUCUAUAUAGAUAGUUAAACCUGACCCUAUUCAUUCAUUCAUUUAUUAAAACUUGACCAAAACCCUCAUUCUUAAACUUUGUAGUUUUCAACACACGUAUGAACAUAAUUGAAUUGUCAUUUAACAUGAAUAUUACUCCCAGAGCAGAUGGUCUCCAAGCCCUCUUCUAUUUUCCUAGUAUUCUGUGAUCUUGCAUGGAUCCUUCUGUGCAAGAAAUUUUGCAUAACCUCUAAAAGGGAUCCCUUUUGCUUCAGUUCUUGACUAUGUGCCUUGGUUGACUGCCUUUUCCUUAAUGCAGGACACACUUUGCUCAUGAGUACAGUUAAUGAACUAUUAGAACAUUAGUGCCCACACAUUCGUGUGCAUCAGCAUCUGGAGAAACACAGAUUUCUGUACCCCACUUCAGUUGUUGAUCCAGGAGGUCUGGAGUGAGACCCUUGAAUUUGCAAUUCCAACAAGUUUCUUGGUGAUUGUGAUGCUGCUGCUCCAAGGAUAACAUUUUCAGAAACAUUUCUGUCUAAAACAUUACUGAACCUAGAGUUAGUAGAUCUCCAAUCAUCUAUGGAUAGAUUUCAGGGAGAGUAUAAAAAAGAAAAAGAUGGUUUAAACAAUUGCAUUUAUAUUUUACUAAACUACUAUGAAUGUAGGCAACAAACCACAGAAAUAUUAGUUGUACCUGACUUUGUCCCAAUAUAAAUAAGACAUAUUUUCAUAUCAUCCUACAAUGGUUUCAGAUAUCUUGAAAUAUGGUUUAUGCACAUCACCACUCUGACAUAAUAUUGGCUAUUUAUCUGUCAUUAGAUUUGAUUAUGAGUUAUUAUAAAGGCCAUUUCUUAUUAUGUCUCAAUAAAACAUGUUAGUAACUUAUUUUAAUAUAAAUUUUUCUUUUUAAUUUUAUGCAUUUUAUUUUUAACACUGAAAAUAGUAUUCUGAAUAGAAUUUAUAGGCUUCAUCAAUUUGUUAGAAGGGUUCAUGGCGGGAGACAUAAACUCUCUUUCUAAAUGAUGAGAAUAAUAAAGAUGUUAAGGCCAAGUCAUGUGCCAUACACCAGGACCUUCGUGGUUAUGCUCACACCAUCAGAAAACCUGGCAGCCACAGAACUGGAGGUGCUGGGUGAUGUCUCUCUCCUGUCGCCUUCCCAUCUGAGCAGAUGAUGCUUAUAGUAAGAUGCCUCUGAUGUUUCUUUAAGUUUGAUUAUCACUCAGAGUAGCAGCUCUCAAAACAUGGUGGCAGUGGCAAGGUCUCUGCAACCUUUUCAUGGAAUCUCAAAAGACAAGGGAAAGAAAACUAUCUUUGGAAGCUGUAUUCAUUUGGACUACCAUCCAAGAACUAUCAUAUGUGCUAUGUCACCAGUCUUUGAUAGUUCAAACACAGGGAGUGUGGGCCAAGUCUGAAGGAAGGUCAAUGAGGGAAGGGAAAUGGAUCCCAAGGAUGUGGUUGCCUAAGUGAAGUACAAAGAAGAAAACAACCUUCAAAACACAUCCCCUUCCAUUUCACUGAAAAAACUUUCAAUCAUGUAUUUUAUUAUUUUUAAAUUUCAAAAAUAAUUCCUGUUAAAUAUUAAACAACAUAUAGAAGCAUGUGAUCAUCUGUUUUUUUUUUUUUUUUUUUUUUUUUUUGAGACGGCGUUUCACUCUUGUUGCCCAGGUUGGAGUGCAAUGGCACAAUCUCUGCUCACUGCAACCUCCGCCUCCUGGGUUCAAGCAAUUCUCUUGCCUCAGCCUCCCGAGUAGCUGGGAUUACAAGCAUGCGCCACCAUACCAGGCUAAUUUUGUAUUCUUAAUAGAGAUGGGGUUUCUCCAUGUUGGUCAGGCUGGUCUCAGACUCCCGACCUCAGGUGAUCCACCCGCCUUGGCCUCCCAAAGUGCUGGGAUUACAGGCGUGAGCCACCACGCCUGGCGUGAUCAUCUUUUAAUACGUCAGCUUGGCUAGGCUACAAUUCCAUUACUCAUCAAAUAGGAAUCUAGGUAUUGCUCUGAUGGUAUUUUAUAUAAGUGAUUAAAGUUAUAACCAAUUGAUUUUAAGUAAGAUAGAGUAUUCUAGAUAAUAUGAGUGAGCCCAAUUCAAUCUGUUGAAAGGUCUUUAAAAGCAGAACUGAGGCUUCCUUGAAGAAGAAAUUCCACCUAUGGACAGCAACUUCAGCAUGUGCCCAAGAAUUCCAGUUGUCCGUUUCUGACCGAGUGUACUAUGGUUUUUGGACUUGCCUAGCCAGCCUCGAAAAUCUCAAAAGCCAAUUCUUU
rnacentral:lncRNA from 10 species